rnacentral:rRNA from 1 species
AACGAACGCUGGCGGCAUGCCUAACACAUGCAAGUCGAACGAGACCUUCGGGUCUAGUGGCGCACGGGUGCGUAACGCGUGGGAACCUGCCCUUAGGUUCGGAAUAACUCCCCGAAAGGGGUGCUAAUACCGGAUAAUGUCUUCGGACCAAAGAGUUAUCGCCUUUGGAUGGGCCCGCGUUGGAUUAGCUAGUUGGUAGGGUAAAAGCCUACCAAGGCGACGUUGCAUAGCUGGUCUGAGAGGAUGACAAGCUACACUGGGACUGAGACACGGCCCAGACUCGUACGGGAGGCAGCAGUGGGGAAUAUUGGACAAUGGGCGAAAGCCUGAUAAAGCAAUGCCGGGUGAGUGAUGAAGGCCUUAGGGUUGUAAAGCUCUUUGACACGGGAUGAUAAUGACAGUACCGGGAGAAUAAGCUCCGGCUAACUACGUG